AAGGGCGGUGACGACAAGGGCGGAGAUGACAAGAGCUCAGAUAAUAAGGGCGAAGAUGACAAGGGCUCAGGUGGAAAUGCCGCCGCUGCGGCUGCAGCAUCUAGUUCAGGUGGAGAUGAUAAGAAAGGAGAUGAUAAGGGCGGCGAUGACAAGAGCUCAGAUAAUAAGGGCGAAGAUGACAAGGGCUCAGGUGGAAGUGCCGCCGCUGCGGCUGCAGCAUCUAGUUCAGGUGGAGAUGAUAAGGGCGGAGAUGACAAGGGCGGAGAUGACAAGGGCUCAGGUGGAAGUGACG